UCUCUCUGCAUGUCUCAGUUGUGCGGUGAAAAUCUCAUCUUUGUUUGUGCAAAUCCGUUUUUGUCUGUGCUUUAGAAGGUGCUUGAUAAAAAUCCUAGCUAAUAUGGUUGUAUGUGCUAUUUAAAGAGAAGAAAAUAGACUAUCUGGUGACCUUUGGAGAUGUAAGUAGCAAGAAUCAUCGCUUAUAUUCGACCAAGGAGAAAGAGGAGCAGUGCUUGGGGGCUCCGAUGUGUCGGCGGCGCUGCGCCCCUUGCCAACGCCUAGCAAGGUUUGGGUGAUCUGGUUGGUCAUUGUGGCGCUUUGCAUACAGAACACGACCUGCCACUUUUCCAUGACAUUGAGACGAGGCUACAAGCUGCAAAUGCCUAUUCUUGUUUCGAGGAUAUUCAGUCUGCAAGCCUCACUUUGUUGUAUUUUAUGAUGGCACUCAUCAUCUUCAAGAUGACAGCAAUUCAUGACAAUUCUAGGUCUGCCAAUAGAAGCAUAAUUAUUGUCAAAUGCAAUUACGCAUCCUCAAUCAGGUAAGAUUACACUCCAUUUUUUCCACAUAGACUCAACUGAAUGUUGCACUCACGUGCCAUUUUUUGGUUCAAUAGGUAAUGUUCAUUCAUUCCUACUUUUGAUCAACCUAGGCUUGGUAGUAUUCAGAGUAGUAGAUGUACAUCAAGACCACAACCCAGUUUACACCUACCAACCAAUUUUCACAGGAGUCCUAUAGCAUAUAUAUUCAGUUUCGACAAUUAAACUCGAUUCCAUGAACCUUCGGGUUGCUCAUUUUCAUAGUAGUUUUGUAGUAGUGACGAAGUCAUUAGUGUGGCAUCCAAAUUAACAAGACAUGUACUGUACUCGUACUUGUAGUUCCGGGUUACACAUUAUUCCUGAAAUUUGUAGUUUGGAACAGGAAGUAAUACUUAUUUUAUGCAUUAUAACAUGUAUGACCGGUUUAGCCACACGAGUUAAAUAGCAUGUUGUUUCUUCACUCAGGUUUUGUUAUCCAAUUAUUUUUACAAAAAACUAAAGCAAAACCAGAAACCCAAGCCAACCCAAAUAUUCUGCUAAACCCUGUGAACUAAAAUCUGUUAUUGACACGUAAAAAAAAAUCUGUUAUUGAACUAAAAUAAGAUUUCAGUGAGCAUCUAUAGCUACAACUGACUUGAAACUAAAAAAAUGCAUAAACAUGAUUUACUUUCUCAGGCUACAAACAAGAAAGCACAAAUGUUCUUUAUGUACAAGCUUAAGCCAUUCUACAACAUGAUCCAGGGUAAUGAUCAAUGCAGCUUAAGCCAUUCUACAACAUGAUCCAGGGUAAUAAUCAAUGCAGCUUAAGCCAUUCUACAACAGUUUACCCACCAUGGGCGAAGUGAUGGUGACAUUCUCUCCGUCAUACACAUCAUCCUAUUGGAGAAGUCUCAGUCCAACUGUCUUUCGAGCAAGCAGUGUAUAUUUUGUUGACUAUACAGUUAGUCCGUAGUAAAAGACAUGUUGUACUAAUGAAGAUUUACAUAGUGUUUCACCAAUUGGAUAGUUGUGUUACAUUU